rnacentral:lncRNA from 1 species
GGUAAAGAAUUUUUAUAUCUUAAUUCAGCAUAGUCAACAAAACAUAUAUAGUAAAAUUCAAAUAUACAAGGUAAUGUACAAGAAAAAUUAUAUUAUUAUUUAAGGAAAUGUACAAAAUUUGAAUAAUAUUUAUAUGCAAAUAUACAAUAAGUCGUCAACAAAGGAAAAAUAUAACAAACAAGAAUGAUUUUAAUAUCUUGAUAGGAACACAUAAAUCUACUGUUAUUUUUUUAUCGUCUACAUAAUCUAUUAAUGAACAAAAUACCAAAAUAUAAUUGGUCAAAAACACCUAUUUUGCUAAUGUUUGUAUAUAUAAACUCCACCCUAAGCAAAUGUAAAUAACACUUAAAAAUGUGUUGCUUCUAAAAUGUUUUUUUUUCUGGAUUUACCUUCAUUAGGAACAUUCUAAACAAAAAUAAUAAUGAAUGCUCUUUAGAUUUUUUACAAAAGCUAUGGUUUUGAUGUAACAUAUCCAAUUGAAAUUUUUAGAGAAUUAAUUUAUAUUCAGGUUUCACAUGUAUAUAAUCAGUCAUCACAAAUUGAAAGCAAAGGUUUUCAUUUAAAAUAUACACCAAAGGCUGCCCAUUUUACGUGCUUUAAAUCAAAACAUCAAUUUACUUUAGUAGUAGUUGCAUAGUAUGUGACAGGCAUUAUCUACAUGGUUAGCUCAGCCAAUUUUCAUAUUAUAUAUGGUACACAUUAAUGUAUCUAUAUUCAUAGAAUGGAAUCAUGACAUGAAAACUUAAGGAGGUUCACGGGUACAAAAAUUUCAUUGCAUCAAAGAUGUUUACUCUAUUAAGUGAUAAACGUAGUCUUUAUCUUUUUUUUCAAACAUUUUGAUAGACUGACAAACUCAUUCUUUGUUUUAUAUUUGGAACCCAACCCCCUAGCCAUUUUUUUUUUAUAAAAAUCAAUUUUACUGCACACUUACAGAGGUUAACAUUUUCAUUUAUAAGGAUUUUUAUCUUUAUCUAGAAUUAAAGGAAAAGACCUUUAUAAGUUAGAGAAAAUUUUCCACUGAACAAUAUUUGGAAGUUAACCUUCAAAGUCUAUGAUUUGAAGCAUAUAGAUAACAAAAUUAUAUUAACUACACAGAUGAAUAACAAAAUAAUAUGAUAAUGAUGAUAAAAUAAGUACUUUUAACUAAUGCAACCUAUGUAGUAUAAACUACUAACAAUAUUGUUUUUUAGACAAACAUGAUAAAUGAUGCAUUUUAAUGUUAGAAAAAUAAGAUUUCAACAAAAAUAUUCCUUUAAAAAAAGAGAGAGUAUGGAAUGUCAAAAUUAAUAUCUGGAAUUCAUUGCAAUGUAAUUUAAUAUUCUAUGGGGUCAAACUGUUUAAAAACAUAUUAUUCUAUAGGUAGAAAUACUAUUAGAGUAAACUAAUAAAAAUCUAUUUUUUUCUUUUUAAAAUAAUUCAAAAACUGGCUUGGGACAAGUUAAUAAGUUUAUUCUUGCAAUUCAAAUGUCAAAUUUCUGUCCUUUUUUUUUUUUGGUAUUUAAAAUUUUAGUCAGCUUUCAAACUGAUGCAGCAUACAGAAAAUAUACUAGUCUUGUAAGGAUACUUCCAAUAAUUAUCUUAGUUUCAUAGUGACAUACAUGUAUAAUACUUUUUUAUGCUGUAGUGGUAAUAAACUAAUAAGCUGUUUUGAGUAUUCAAUUCCUUUUAACCUUGGAAGCUCUUUAGUCUAUCUUAUAAACGUUUACACAGAUGAAGAACAACAAUAAAACUCAUCCUCUGUCAAUAUAAAGUUAUUUCUUGUGAUAUAGUCAUGAGCAAACCAACUAAAAGUUACAUUAUAUACUUUAGUUUUGCUUGUUGUUGACCUCCUAAAUAUAAGAGUUAAUUAUUUAUUUUGAACCACAACCAUAAAGUCCUAUUAGAAUAUAUAACGUAUUUCAAACCUAUGACAUUCAUAUAUGUAUAUAUAUUAUUUCUCUACUGCUGUUAAAACUUAAUUGAGGUUAAAUAAAGUAAACAAAUUUAAACAUGUCACAUUCUAACUCCUUACAGAACGCACCAUAUAUGCCUACUUUGUAUGUACAGCAAGAAUAAUACAGUUGUAUAUAUGUAAGUUUAGAGUUUCAUUGGUUUAACUCUAGGAACACUAGCACAUUUGUGUGAACAUAUCACAUACUGAAACAGAAGCAGCAAUCUUAUUAUCACUACAAGUGUCAUAUUUGGGUAAGGUAUAUGAGAAAAUUUGGUUUAUACACCUUCAAUAAAUAAGUGAGUCAAAACCUUCUAGCAGUACAUGUAAGUAGAGCAAUAAGGAUGGAUACCGAAGUAUGCUGCAGUUGUCUUAUGCACCUUUAAUAUGAAUUAUCAUACAUAUGUACCAGUAUAUUCUAUUUUGUUAUGGUUUUUCUAAAAAAAAAAAAGACAUUAUCUUAUCCAAAUUAUUCAUAUAAAUUUUACGAUACAUUUAUAACAUUGUCUAAUAAUUUUCACUAUCAAAAAAUAAAAUCAUAUUCAUGUAUAUAUCUUGUGUCAAUAAUCUUAUAAACAUAACAAAUCAUUUACAAAAAGGUAUUAUUAUAAAACAAUUUAAAUGCAAAAGUGGCACUGAUAACUUUAAGCUUUACAAAAUAACAACCUUCAUAAGCACACAUUUUAGGAGAGAAAAUAUACAGCCCAGAAUUUUACAACUAUAUAGCACAAACCAGCUGAAAUUCAUGAGGUUUUUUGUUAUUUUUUUAUGUGUAAAACAUUUUCUGAAAAAAUAAUAUUCUUCUAAAAACUCAGAAACUUUCAAUCAAAGAUAAAAAAAAAAAAAAGGUGCAAACGCAUCAUAUAUUACAGAGGAUAAAGAUAUAUAUAAGUCAAUGAGACAGCAACCUUUUAAUAUCAUCAAUCCAAAACGAGACCCCUACACUAUUUUACUUGAUAUUUUACAACCCUUUUGCCUAACAGUAAACACUGGAAUUCAACUAUAACAUUGUGGUCAAUAAAAUAUAUUUAAUAUCUAAUAAAUAAUUGACCCCUUAUUGUGUGUUUUUUUUUAUAUUUAACAAGGCCAGGAGUCAAUUUCACAAAAAAAAACUUAUGACUAAGAUUGGUUGUAAGUCAUGAACAAUUUAUUCUCUUAGUCAUAAGUUUUUUUGUGAAAUCGACUACUGGCCUUUAGAAAGCUACCAAAUUGUAAUUUUUGAAUUAUUUCAUCCUUCCUUAACCCCAAUUUGAUCCACUUUGGAUUUUAAAAUUACUCAUAAAUUCCCCAAAAAAUAUUAAAGUAGCUGCAUGACAUAACAUAAUGGUAUUCAUCACCAAUGUGUAUUGAGUCGCAGAAGAACUACUACAAUACAAUAGUAACUGCUCAGGUAAUUUAUACAGAGUAUUUGAACAUUGAAUGACUUGUGAUUUCAAAAUUCCUUUUUUAUUUUGCCCAACUGAACUUUGUUUAAGAUAACAUUUAUUCAAAGGGCCUGUAAAAU